UGUAAAAGUGCAGCGCAAGAUAUUUUUUUCCCAAUAUAUUUGGCCGCAGGAUAUUUUUUUUGCCUCUCAUAAUAACGGCUUACAGUAACUUUAGGCUUUCAUAUAGCUAUCAUCGGAGACGUAGCAGGGGUUUUCAGUCAGAGGAGGCCGAGAACUGAAUCCCAAGAUGGGCCAAGGAAUUUUCACUGUGCUUUAUUUUAUAUAUGGUUAUGUCUUAAUGUUCCCCACACUAAAGCGUGCAAGUUUACUUACAAAGAAUGUAUAACUGCACCAAAACCUAAAACAUGCAGGGAUAGAGUAGAGUGCUCGAAAAUGGGGGAGGGUACAGUAUAUGAAUGACCUGUAACCUUGGGGGGUUCGGGGGCAUGCUCCCCCGAGAAAAUUUUAAAAUUUGAACCUCGGAAAUGCUAUUUCCUGCGUUUUCAGCCAUGGAUAAUUACCUUAAGCCCAGAUUUCCUCAGGAGGGGCAACAAUUUUGCCAGGGAACACCACUGGCUAUCGUAUGUCAGAGGCUCCAAAGGCGGUAGAAUCCCUGUGAUGCUAUCCACUGUUCACCGCGUGUUCUUUUAAGCAAAUGUGCCUGCUCAAAAAUGCAAAAUCUUGCAAGCCUGUGGACACAAUACUGAAGUGAAGAGCAUCAGUAGAGUUACAUGUAGAAAAUUUUUUUUUGAGCGCUCUCUUUUGCAUGAUAUUUUUUUUUUUCGAUUGUGUGCUGCAUGAUUUUUUUUUUCUUUCUCCUUGGGUUGCAGGAAAUUUUUUUUCGAAAUCUUCCACCCCCCCCUCAAAAGUCAAAUGGUCCGCCCCUAAUCGUAUUUU